GCCUCCGUGGCUUAGCAUGGUAGAGAAAAUUUUACCUUGCGAGGCAAAGGCCGCGGGUCCGAAUCCCGCCGGAGGCU
rnacentral:tRNA from 1 species